rnacentral:rRNA from 1 species
GGACCCGCACAAGUAGUGGAGCAUGUGGUUUAAUUCGAAGAUACGCGCAGAACCUUACCAACACUUGACAUGUUCGUCGCGACUCUAAGAGAUUAGAGUUCUCGGUUCGGCCGGACGAAACACAGGUGCUGCAUGGCUGUCGUCAGCUCGUGUCGUGAGAUGUUGGGUUAAGUCCCGCAACGAGCGCAACCCUCACUUUUAGUUGCCAUCAUUAAGUUGGGCACUCUGAAAGAACUGCCAGUGAUAAGCUGGAGGAAGGUGGGGAUGACGUCAAGUCCUCAUGGCCCUUACGUGUUGGGCUACACACGUGCUACAAUGGCAUCUACAACAGGAAGCAAAACGGCAACGUUAAGCAAAUCCCAAAAAGAUGCCUCAGUUCGGAUUGCACUCUGCAACUCGAGUGCAUG